UUCCGGUUGAUCCCGCCAGACCCGACUGCUAUCAGAGUGAGACUAAGCCAUGCGAGUCAACGUAUGAAUAAUACGUGGCGAACGGCUGAGUAACACGUAGUCAACAUGCCCAAAGGACGUGGAUAACCUCGGGAAACUGAGGAUAAACCGCGAUAGGUCAUAAGUACUGGAAUGUUUUAUGGCUCAAAUCUACAUGGCCUCUGGAUUGGACUGCGGCCGAUCAGGCUGUUGGUGAGGUAAUGGCCCACCAAACCUGUUACCGGUACGGGCUCUGAGAGGAGGAGCCCGGAGAUGGGCACUGAGACAAGGGCCCAGGCCCUAUGGGGCGCAGCAGGCGCGAAACCUCUGCAAUAGGCGAAAGCUUGACAGGGUUACUCUGAGUGAUUCCCGCUAAGGGAAUCUUUUGGCAUCUCUAAAAACGAUGCAGAAUAAGGGGUGGGCAAGUCUGGUGUCAGCCGCCGCGGUAAUACCAGCACCCCGAGUGGUCGGGACGAUUAUUGGGCCUAAAGCAUCCGUAGCCGGUCUUGCAAGUCUUCCGUUAAAUCCACCUGCUUAACAGAUGGGCUGCGGGAGAUACUACAAGACUAGGAGGUGGGAGAGGCAAGCGGUACUCAGUGGGUAGGGGUAAAAUCCUCUGAUCCAUUGAAGACCACCAGUGGCGAAGGCGGCUUGCCAGAACGCGCUCGACGGUGAGGGAUGAAAGCUGGGGGAGCAAACCGGAUUAGAUACCCGGGUAGUCCCAGCUGUAAACGAUGCAGACUCGGUGAUGGGCCGGCUUCAUGCCGGCUCAGUGCCGCAGGGAAGCCGUUAAGUCUGCCGCCUGGGGAGUACGGUCGCAAGACUGAAACUUAAAGGAAUUGGCGGG
rnacentral:rRNA from 1 species